rnacentral:rRNA from 1 species
GACGAACGCUGGCGGCGUGCUUAACACAUGCAAGUCGAACGGAAAGGCCCUGCUUUUGUGGGGUGCUCGAGUGGCGAACGGGUGAGUAACACGUGAGUAACCUGCCCUUGACUUUGGGAUAACUUCAGGAAACUGGGGCUAAUACCGGAUAGGAGCUCCUGCUGCAUGGUGGGGGUUGGAAAGUUUCGGCGGUUGGGGCUGGACUCGCGGCUUAUCAGCUUGUUGGUGGGGUAGUGGUUUACCAAGGCUUUGACGGGUAGCCGGCCUGAGAGGGUGACCGGCCACAUUGGGACUGAGAUACGGCCCAGACUCCUACGGGAGGCAGCAGUGGGGAAUAUUGCACAAUGGGCGGAAGCCUGAUGCAGCAACGCCGCGUGCGGGAUGACGGCCUUCGGGUUGUAAACCGCUUUCGCCUGUGACGAAGCGUGAGUGACGGUAAUGGGUAAAGAAGCACCGGCUAACUACGUG